GCAUAUCAAUAAGCGGAGGAAAAGAAACUAACAAGGAUUCCCCUAGUAACUGCGAGUGAAGCGGGAAGAGCUCAAAUUUAAAAUCUGGCAGCUUUGGUUGUCCGAGUUGUAGUCUAGAGAAGCGUUUUCCGCGCUGGACCGUGUACAAGUCUCUUGGAACAGAGCGUCACAGAGGGUGAGAAUCCCGUCUUUGACACGGACUACCAGUGCUUUGUGAUGCGCUCUCAAAGAGUCGAGUUGUUUGGGAAUGCAGCUCAAAAUGGGUGGUAAAUUCCAUCUAAAGCUAAAUAUUGGCGAGAGACCGAUAGCGAACAAGUACCGUGAGGGAAAGAUGAAAAGCACUUUGGAAAGAGAGUUAAACAGUACGUGAAAUUGCUGAAAGGGAAACACUUGAAGUCAGUCGCGUCGUUCAGAAAUCAGCCUCGCUUCCGCUUGGUGUACUUUCUGACUGACGGGCCAGCAUCAGUUUCGGUUGCGGGAGAAAGGUCAGGGGAAUGUGGCACCUCCGGGUGUGUUAUAGCCCCUGGCUGCAUGCCGUGGUCGGGACUGAGGAACUCAGCACGCCUNGUUGUGCUCAGGAUGCUGGCGUAAUGGCUUUAAAUGACCCGUCUUGAAACACGGACCAAGGAGUCUAACAUGCCCGCGAGUGUUUGGGUGGUAAACCCGAGCGCGUAAUGAAAGUGAAAGUUGGGAUCUCUGUCGUGGAGAGCACCGACGCCCGGACCAGACCUUCUGUGACGGCUCCGCGGUAGAGCGUGUAUGUUGGGACCCGAAAGAUGGUGAACUAUGCCUGAAUAGGGUGAAGCCAGAGGAAACUCUGGUGGAGGCUCGUAGCGAUUCUGACGUGCAAAUCGAUCGUCAAAUUUGGGUAUAGGGGCGAAAGACUAAUCGAACCAUCUAGUAGCU
rnacentral:rRNA from 1 species